rnacentral:rRNA from 1 species
CAGAGAGCUUGCUCUCGGGUGACGAGCGGCGGACGGGUGAGUAAUGUCUGGGAAACUGCCUGAUGGAGGGGGAUAACUACUGGAAACGGUAGCUAAUACCGCAUAACGUCGCAAGACCAAAGUGGGGGACCUUCGGGCCUCAUGCCAUCAGAUGUGCCCAGAUGGGAUUAGCUAGUAGGUGGGGUAAUGGCUCACCUAGGCGACGAUCCCUAGCUGGUCUGAGAGGAUGACCAGCCACACUGGAACUGAGACACGGUCCAGACUCCUACGGGAGGCAGCAGUGGGGAAUAUUGCACAAUGGGCGCAAGCCUGAUGCAGCCAUGCCGCGUGUGUGAAGAAGGCCUUCGGGUUGUAAAGCACUUUCAGCGGGGAGGAAGGCGUUAAGGUUAAUAACCUUGUCGAUUGACGUUACCCGCAGAAGAAGCACCGGCUAACUCCGUGCCAGCAGCCGCGGUAAUACGGAGGGUGCAAGCGUUAAUCGGAAUUACUGGGCGUAAAGCGCACGCAGGCGGUCUGUCAAGUCGGAUGUGAAAUCCCCGGGCUCAACCUGGGAACUGCAUUCGAAACUGGCAGGCUAGAGUCUUGUAGAGGGGGGGUAGAAUUCCAGGUGUAGCGGUGAAAUGCGUAGAGAUCUGGAGGAAUACCGGUGGCGAAGGCGGCCCCCUGGACAAAGACUGACGCUCAGGUGCGAAAGCGUGGGGAGCAAACAGGAUUAGAUACCCUGGUAGUCCACGCCGUAAACGAUGUCGAUUUGGAGGUUGUGCCCUUGAGGCGUGGCUUCCGGAGCUAACGCGUUAAAUCGACCGCCUGGGGAGUACGGCCGCAAGGUUAAAACUCAAAUGAAUUGACGGGGGCCCGCACAAGCGGUGGAGCAUGUGGUUUAAUUCGAUGCAACGCGAAGAACCUUACCUGGUCUUGACAUCCACAGAACUUUCCAGAGAUGGAUUGGUGCCUUCGGGAACUGUGAGACAGGUGCUGCAUGGCUGUCGUCAGCUCGUGUUGUGAAAUGUUGGGUUAAGUCCCGCAACGAGCGCAACCCUUAUCCUUUGUUGCCAGCGGUUAGGCCGGGAACUCAAAGGAGACUGCCAGUGAUAAACUGGAGGAAGGUGGGGAUGACGUCAAGUCAUCAUGGCCCUUACGACCAGGGCUACACACGUGCUACAAUGGCAUAUACAAAGAGAAGCGACCUCGCGAGAGCAAGCGGACCUCAUAAAGUAUGUCGUAGUCCGGAUUGGAGUCUGCAACUCGACUCCAUGAAGUCGGAAUCGCUAGUAAUCGUAGAUCAGAAUGCUACGGUGAAUACGUUCCCGGGCCUUGUACACACCGCCCGUCACACCAUGGGAGUGGGUUGCAAAAGAAGUAGGUAGCUUAACC